AAGAUUUGCAAAUGAAGUGAAAAUGGCUUUGCUCCUCAUAUUGCAUGUAAUAGAUGAUAUGGAGUGGGAAAAGUGUCUGCGGCCAGAGCUCACAGGGCGAAUAUUGAUUUAUUUUAUUGCAUUUUUAAUAUUUUUCAACUGACGCUGUAUGCAACCAAAUAGGAUUUUGCGCCAUGCAGUAAAGGCCAUAUAGACUAGUGAAUCGUGAGAGAAUAAGCACCAAAACAAAACCAACAGGGCAGCAAUAAAUCACUUACAGGCUUAUUUACUAAACUAAGAAACGAAAGGGAAAUUAAAAUCAAUUUCAUAUCGAAGGUCAGCGAGUGUCUAUUUUCACAUUAACUUCACUUUGAAUAUAUUCUCACUGAUAAU